rnacentral:rRNA from 1 species
UACGGGGGGGGCAAGCGUUGUUCGGAAUUACUGGGCGUAAAGGGCUCGUAGGCGGCCAACUAAGUCGGAUGUGAAAUCCCCAGGCUUAACCUGGGAACUGCAUCCGAUACUGGAUGGCUUGAAUCCGGGAGAGGGAUGCAGAAUUCCAGGUGUAGCGGUGAAAUGCGUAGAUAUCAGGAAGAAUAUCCGUGGCGAAGGCGGCUCUCUGGUACGGCACUGACGCUGAGACGCGAAAGCGUGGGGAGCGAACAGG